UCGCCUUUUCGAGUGAAGAGCGUCUACUUUUUCUGCUUCGCCCCGGCAACCUGCUAGCAGCCCUUGCAAAAGCAGAACAUUUAGGACUUCUGCCCCCUCGGCUUUAUUCGUCUUCCCUCUUUUGCAUUUCCCAGUGUUAUUUCUACCUCUGGGCACACAGACACAGAUGAGGAAAUGGGAGCCAAGAAGAAUAUUUUUUCCCAAGGCCAUUCAGCUGGACAGAAGCCAGAAACCUUCACUCUGCAGCGCCCUUGUCCAGAUGCUGAAGCCAGUCUAUUUGGCUUCUAAUCCCUGUUAGUCAGUGACCAGCUGCGAGACCAGGCUGGCUUCACAUACUGAAAACUGUCACCACGUGUCAUCAUUGGGUAUCCCAAUCCCUGCCUCUCUCGGUCCCGGGAUCAUCUUUAACAUCACCAACAAGGGGGACAGCACUGGACAGCCGCUUGCCACACACCAUCAGCUUAGCUCAAUGUGAGAGCAAAAGGGUACACCCGUCGCUGUCAGUCUGGCAACCUGAAACACUUGGGCUGCACGGGAGACCCAGAAAGCGAACAAGAUCUCCCAGCAACCAGAACAACGACCAUAAGGCUGUGGACUGGACUCACACAGUGGAACAUGUUGAGGAUGGCAAAUGUAAGAAGGAAGAGAAGCUGGUGGAGGAAGGGAAAGAUCGGGCUGGUAAGUUCACG